GACGAACGCUGGCGGCGUGCUUUAGGCAUGCAAGUCGAACGCGAAAGCCCCUUCGGGGGUGAGUAGAGUGGCGAACGGGUGAGUAACACGUGGGUAACCUGCCCCUCGCAGGGGGAUAACCGGGGGAAACCCCGGCUAAUACCCCGUACGCUUGCUGGGGCGCAUGCUCCGGCAAGGAAAGGUAGCUUCGGCCAUCCGGCGAGGGAGGGGCCCGCGGCCCAUUAGCUAGUUGGUGGGGUAACGGCCCACCAAGGCGACGAUGGGUAGCUGGCCUGAGAGGGUGGUCAGCCACACUGGGACUGAGACACGGCCCAGACUCCGACGGGAGGCAGCAGCCAGGAAUCUUGCGCAAUUGGCGAAAGCCUGACGCAGCAACGCCGCGGGGGCGAUGAAGGCCUUCGGGUCGUAAAGCCCUGUUGUCGGGGACGAAGGGCGAAGGGUUAAGAGCCCCUAGCCUGACGGUACCCGACGAGGAAGCCCCGGCUAACUACGUG
rnacentral:rRNA from 1 species